rnacentral:rRNA from 1 species
GGAGCUUGCUCCUCUGACGUUAGCGGCGGACGGGUGAGUAACACGUGGAUAACCUACCUAUAAGACUGGGAUAACUUCGGGAAACCGGAGCUAAUACCGGAUAAUAUAUUGAACCGCAUGGUUCAAUAGUGAAAGACGGUUUUGCUGUCACUUAUAGAUGGAUCCGCGCCGCAUUAGCUAGUUGGUAAGGUAACGGCUUACCAAGGCAACGAUGCGUAGCCGACCUGAGAGGGUGAUCGGCCACACUGGAACUGAGACACGGUCCAGACUCCUACGGGAGGCAGCAGUAGGGAAUCUUCCGCAAUGGGCGAAAGCCUGACGGAGCAACGCCGCGUGAGUGAUGAAGGUCUUCGGAUCGUAAAACUCUGUUAUUAGGGAAGAACAAAUGUGUAAGUAACUAUGCACGUCUUGACGGUACCUAAUCAGAAAGCCACGGCUAACUACGUGCCAGCAGCCGCGGUAAUACGUAGGUGGCAAGCGUUAUCCGGAAUUAUUGGGCGUAAAGCGCGCGUAGGCGGUUUUUUAAGUCUGAUGUGAAAGCCCACGGCUCAACCGUGGAGGGUCAUUGGAAACUGGAAAACUUGAGUGCAGAAGAGGAAAGUGGAAUUCCAUGUGUAGCGGUGAAAUGCGCAGAGAUAUGGAGGAACACCAGUGGCGAAGGCGACUUUCUGGUCUGUAACUGACGCUGAUGUGCGAAAGCGUGGGGAUCAAACAGGAUUAG